rnacentral:rRNA from 1 species
CUGGCGGCGUGCCUAAUACAUGCAAGUCGAGCGAGCGGAACUAACAGAUUUACUUCGGUAAUGACGUUAGGAAAGCGAGCGGCGGAUGGGUGAGUAACACGUGGGGAACCUGCCCCAUAGUCUGGGAUACCACUUGGAAACAGGUGCUAAUACCGGAUAAGAAAGCAGAUCGCAUGAUCAGCUUUUAAAAGGCGGCGUAAGCUGUCGCUAUGGGAUGGCCCCGCGGUGCAUUAGCUAGUUGGUAAGGUAAAGGCUUACCAAGGCGAUGAUGCAUAGCCGAGUUGAGAGACUGAUCGGCCACAUUGGGACUGAGACACGGCCCAAACUCCUACGGGAGGCAGCAGUAGGGAAUCUUCCACAAUGGACGCAAGUCUGAUGGAGCAACGCCGCGUGAGUGAAGAAGGUUUUCGGAUCGUAAAGCUCUGUUGUUGGUGAAGAAGGAUAGAGGUAGUAACUGGCCUUUAUUUGACGGUAAUCAACCAGAAAGUCACGGCUAACUACGUGCCAGCAGCCGCGGUAAUACGUAGGUGGCAAGCGUUGUCCGGAUUUAUUGGGCGUAAAGCGAGCGCAGGCGGAAGAAUAAGUCUGAUGUGAAAGCCCUCGGCUUAACCGAGGAACUGCAUCGGAAACUGUUUUUCUUGAGUGCAGAAGAGGAGAGUGGAACUCCAUGUGUAGCGGUGGAAUGCGUAGAUAUAUGGAAGAACACCAGUGGCGAAGGCGGCUCUCUGGUCUGCAACUGACGCUGAGGCUCGAAAGCAUGGGUAGCGAACAGGAUUAGAUACCCUGGUAGUCCAUGCCGUAAACGAUGAGUGCUAAGUGUUGGGAGGUUUCCGCCUCUCAGUGCUGCAGCUAACGCAUUAAGCACUCCGCCUGGGGAGUACGACCGCAAGGUUGAAACUCAAAGGAAUUGACGGGGGCCCGCACAAGCGGUGGAGCAUGUGGUUUAAUUCGAAGCAACGCGAAGAACCUUACCAAGUCUUGACAUCUAGUGCCAUUUGUAGAGAUACAAAGUUCCCUUCGGGGACGCUAAGACAGGUGGUGCAUGGCUGUCGUCAGCUCGUGUCGUGAGAUGUUGGGUUAAGUCCCGCAACGAGCGCAACCCUUGUUAUUAGUUGCCAGCAUUAAGUUGGGCACUCUAAUGAGACUGCCGGUGACAAACCGGAGGAAGGUGGGGAUGACGUCAAGUCAUCAUGCCCCUUAUGACCUGGGCUACACACGUGCUACAAUGGGCAGUACAACGAGAAGCGAGCCUGCGAAGGCAAGCGAAUCUCUGAAAGCUGUUCUCAGUUCGGACUGCAGUCUGCAACUCGACUGCACGAAGCUGGAAUCGCUAGUAAUCGCGGAUCAGCACGCCGCGGUGAAUACGUUCCCGGGCCUUGUACACACCGCCCGUCACACCAUGGGAGUCUGCAAUGCCCAAAGCCGGUGGCCUAACUUUCGGGAAGGAGCUGUCUAAGGCAGGGCAGAUGACUGGGGUGAAGUCGUAACAAGGUAACGUAGGAGAAC